rnacentral:lncRNA from 1 species
AUUCUAACCAAAUUUUAAUCAAAUUUUAAUAAAAUUCUAAUCAAAUCUUAACCAAAUCCUAGUGAAUAUUAAAUAAAUUCUAAUCAAAUCCUAAUCGAAUUCUACAUAAAUCUUAACCAAAUCCUAACCAAAUCCUAGUCAAAUCCUAAAUAAAUCCUAACCAAAUCUUAAUCAAAUCCUAAAUAAAACCUAAUCAAAUCCUAACCAAAUCCUAAUCAAUCCUAAAUAAAUCUUAAUCAAAUCCUAACAAAUUCUAACUAAAUUCUAAUUAAACCUUAAAUAAACUUUAAUCAAAUUCUAAUCAAAUUCUAAACAAAUCAUAAUCAAAUCCUAAUCAAAUCUUAACCAAAUUUUAGUCAAAUUGUAGAAUAGAUAGGAUUUUUUUGUUUUAUAAUACAUAAUAUGUAGGAUUAAGAGAAGCUAGUAAACUGAUGAAUGGAUAGUUUAGAAGGCACGAUGGAUGAUUCAGUCAAAAAAAGUAGUUAUCAUCAUAUUAUAUAGUGGUUGAUAUUUCAAGGUAAGCAUAAGUAGAUUGAGGAAGAAGUAAGAGGGGCUAGACUGUGAUAGUUAUGAACCGGGAUAAGCUUGGUGCUACUUCUUUGUUUCUUUAUAGUUGAAGAGUAAUGGAUUAUUUUUGAAUAAUAUAAAGUAAAAUUCUAGAAUAAAAAAGAGAUUUAAUGUUGUAAAUGAAGUAAGAAAUUUAUUGUGGAUGAAUACAGUGGGUAAUUGUAAGUAGACAAUUGAAAGUAUUAGUGAAGAGUGGUUAUGAAUGGGAUAAUUAUAAUACUGAGGUUUGAGAAGGAAUCUUUGAAGUUUGGAUUUAUAUGAAGAAGUUUAGGAAGAAUGAAAAUUAAAUAUGAAGGAUUUCAGUGAUUAGAUUAUGGAGUGAUUAUAUGUUGUCUUUUAAGAUAGUAUAGUAUUACAUAUCAUUAUCAUAAAUUAUGAGAAGAGAAGAGAUAGUGAAUGUGAAGAUGGAAUUAUCAAUUGUAAUAUUUGAUAGAAUGCAAAAGACAAUGUAGCAUUCUUGGAUGUUUUUAGUUGAUGAAGAGACAAUUAAUUGUGUGACCCUAAUGUGUAAAUUCAUGCGGAUAGUCUUUCUUUGUAUUCGAAUUCUCCUAUACAGGUUUAUUUUGAUAAGAUUAGUUUGGAGUAAGUAAAACCACAAUUAAAUUUUGGUGCUACUGCAAGGAAUUGUUAAUAGUAUUGAGUAUUAAGAAUUAACUUCCGAAUGUAUAGUUGUGGAUGUUGUACAAAGAGAUUACAAAAUUAGCAUUGGUUUGAAAGUAAAGCCGAAUGUGUAGUUAAAGUGGAAAUAGAAAGAAAUUUCAGUAGUAUAUGAUGAAAGAUCAUGAUUAAUAAGAAUGAGAACAUCGCACUGAAAAAAACAUGCCAUUUUAAAGGAAGACAAGAGAGAGUGCUGUCAUAGUGUAAAUGCUUAUAGUAUGUAAAAAUUAGUUAGAACACAUUAAAUGUUAAUAAAUCUAAAUGUAUGUUAGAGUGGAUAAUAGAUUAAAUUAAAAAGAUUUGGUAUAAAAAAACUUUAUUUUGUUUUCCUUACUUAGUUUGAUUAUAGUAUAUAAAAGUUAUAGAACCUUAAUGUUAAGUAUGAAGCCUUGAGAGGAGAUAGGGGCCUAAAGAUGAAGAUUUAAACUAAUAGGAGGUUAAUUGGGAGGGAUGAAACCAAGGCAUGGUUGGAUGAAGGUAGAAAUAAGGAUCUUCAUCCCCAUUGGUCGAAAUCCAUGCCCAAUGGGCUUUUAGGAGGCUGCCCGCGACCUUGAUAAGGGUUUCGGCGACUUCAAAGAGGCCAUUAGGAAAUCAAAGGUAAGAGUUGUAAAGUUUAGGAUUUUGGCUACAAUUUUUGUGCAAAUUUUAUAGGGUUUGGAGUUAGGGUGAAUAAGUUAUAACCGUUUGAAGUUAAGGUGUCAAUUUGAGACCUACUGUUACUCUUUUGAGUUUAAGAGGAGUUUUACGGAAGCUUUUGGAGAUCGGAAGGUGCGACUGGAAGAGCAACUUCAAGACAUACAUCUUUUGUGAAGGAAAUUUUGCAUUUGGAGUUUAUGUGAAGGAGUUAUAGGGAGUUAAAGACAGCGCAUUCAAAUCAAAGGCAGUAAGUGAGCGGUUUUGUUCAAAGUAGUGUUAGGAGUCAUAACUUAAGUUUUCGAAUGAAAUUUUAGCUCAAACUGUGGGAGAAUGUAAAAAUUUGUGUUAAAAAGCUAUCUAUACAAGUUUCGUGGCAUUUGGACUUAUGGUUUGUGAGAUAUGAAGAAAAUUACGCAUGGGUAUAUAAAGAUUAGGGUUUGAAGCGACUGUUAGGGUUUUAAAGAUAUCUCAAGAUCUGCGACGAAUUUGUAGUUGAAAUUCGUUGUACAAAUUAAUAACAACAUAUCAAUACUUCAUGUGAAUUUUGAUCUUGUUUGGACGGUUGGAUCAAGAGUUAUGAGGUGUUGAGGUUUGGGAGAAUUUCCACACAAGGAUAUAGAAGGUUUUAGAGUACUUCUACCAUAUUUUGGAUGUUGUUGGUUAUUUAAGACUUAAGUAUUUAGUGUAAUUGUCCCAAAAGGAGAACUUAUACAUAUAAAAUUAGAGUUUCUUUAUUUUAAGCUUAAUUGAAUAAUUAGUAACAGCUAGAAGCCCAGCGCUUUCUUGAGGCAAAAUCUCUCUACCCCAACAGCACAAGCAAGAAAUUUGUUGCAGGAUGAGCAAGAACAAAAUCUAAAAAAGAAGCAUUGUUGGAUUAAACCAUGGUUGUAUGCCUAUUGGCAUAUUUGAGCAUACUAAGAAUUUGAUAGAUCAUUAAUAUUUAAGUCAUAUAUAUCAUUAAGAAAACUGCUAAGAGCACUUACAAAAAAUAUUGUCAAUAGUCUAACGUCUCUCUUGAGCCUAUUAACUGAAAAUAAAAGAGGCAAAUAAAAAUUGGAUACUCUAUUAGAUUCUUUCCAAAUAGCAGGUACAGUCGAUUCUAGCAAUAUUGAUUCUUCAAAAUGGCAUAAAUUGCUUGCCAAAAAAGACCAAUUUAGAAUAUUUUAAAAUCCAUCAUUUUCACCUUCAAUUCAACCAAUAAAAUUAUUUGCGGAUAAUAUUAAUAAAUUGAGGAGGUUUGAAAGUCCAAAAAAGAUAAUUGGAGAAAGUAGUGAUUAUUUUAAAAGGAAAUUAAGUGGAGCAUUGAUAUCUUCAAUGGCGGCAAGGGGCUUAGUAGUUCCAAUUGCAGUUCAAAUAGGUGCAGUAGGCGAUCACACAACUAAUAUAGCUCCAUUACCUACUUUUAGAGGUUUGCCAGAUGCAGAUCCAAAUUAACAUUUGUUUAAAUUCUUAAUUACAUGUAUAGCCAAUAAUAAUAGAAUUGAAGAUAUUUGGUUGAGAUUGUUGGAAGCGACCUUAAAAGACACAAUAUUUGAAUGGUAUAAUUGCCAACUUGUGGGCCAAUUUUUUAAUUAGGAGGCAUUAAAAAAUACGUUUAUAAGUCAUUUUCGAUUAAUUAGAUUUGAAGAACAUCUCAAGGAAAGGUUAAUGAAUAGUAGAAUGGUAUCAAGAGAAGUAGUGCAGUCAUAUAAUAGAUGAGUAGCAUAUAUUCUUUGGAAAUGGCCAAAUAACUAAAUGUCGAAAUUAUUUGUUUUGUUUAUAUUGCUUAAUGGACUACACCUAUCAGAAUUGAAGAUGUUUCUGAAGGAAGCUCAACCAGCCAUUGUUGCUUCUUUAAUUGAUUGAGAAAAAGUAUGGAAAGAAUGUCAUUAUGACCAAUUCCUAACCACAAGAGCCACGAUGAUUCUAUCUCAAGGAGAUUAUUAAAUGCCAGCUUGGAAUGAAGUAGUAGACAAUUACCCAAGAAUGAUUGAUUAUCAUACAAAUAUUAGUAUAAAUCCAUAAAAAAUAGUUAAUCUUGUCCCAUUGCACACUCUACUACUAACAACAAUAAUUCCAUAUUUUCCAUACUUCCCAUUUCAAAAAUUAAUACCUAUAAAAGAGUUACCUAAUGAACUAGUAUCAAGAAAUCAAAAUGAGGCUUUGUUGUUAACUUUGAGAAAGAAGAUGGACAAAGUGGCUAUUAAUUUGGCAAAGGAUAAGGAGAAGAGGCAUAAAUCGACCAAUUUACGCCUCAAUAUUUGGUGCAGUAAUUGUAAAAGAAUGAGUCAAAAUUUUGAAAAAAAUUUGAGUAUAAUUAAGAAUGUAGAUCCAAUGCUCAAGAUUUUGUACAAAGUCAACAAGAAUAUUCUCAAUAUCCACCUAUUCCAAAAUUAACUUUAGAUUCUAUAGUACUAAUUGGUCAAUUGGGAUCAUUUAUCCAUCCAACCUAAAAUAGGCCCAACCGAAAUAUACUAGUAGAAACAUCCAAUAUUCCUAAUGGAGUUGGAAGAAGACGACUUUGAUGUUAUCAUUGCAGGCAGAUAAGACAUAAUAUUAGUAAAUAUCCCAAUCUAAGAGCCAAUAAUGAAUAUACUCUAGUAUGUGGAAAUUGUAAGAAAUAUGGACAUACUUACCAGUAGUGCAAUGCUCCAUUUAAUUUCAAUAACCAAGAUCAACAGAUGCACUUGAGCCAAUAGUCAGAUGAUAAAGGUUGUGUUUAACAAGAAUUCUCAAUAUAUCAGGUUGAGAUAGUUAAUGCAGUGCUUACAUGGGGUCAAGAUUACAAAAAGAGCAAGAUUCGAUUAAAGAAUUGGAUGAACGAAUUGUGGAAUCACUUUCAAUAAAGAAGUGUAUGAUAUUUUGAAAGAUUUGGAUGUACUUCAACCUUCUAUCACAAUGAAGCAACUUUUGGUCAAAGUACCAAAAUUUUGUUCUAUAUUAAAUGUCUCAUUAAUAAGACAUAAGUAAGAUAAUAGAAAAAUUCAUGAAAUUAGUUUGAAUCUUGAUCCAAAGACACCAACUAUUAAUGUAUCAAUUGAUGGUAUUCUAAUUUCCAGAAUUCAAGUAGAUGGUGGCUCUAGUGUCAAUUUGAUGAAUGUCAAUAUAAUGGAGGAAUUGAAUUUAAAACAUUUACUAUCUACAACAUUGGUAUUGAGAAUGGCAGAUCAUAGUAGGAUAAAAUCAAUAGAUAUCAUAUGUAGUAUUGACACUGUAAUUGCCAAAAUUACAUAUAAAAUUGAUUAUAUUAUUUUUUGCUAACAAAGUUUUAUAUUAUCAUAUCUAAUUUUAUUAGAUCGAUCAUAGCUAUAUCAAGCCAAAGUUAAGAAUGAUUGGGGUUGUGGCAUAUUAAUUGUUGAAAAAGGUAAUGACCAGAUUGUAUUACAAAUGUAUCCAGUGCAAUAUUAUGAGAAAUCUCAAUUGUCAAGAUCAGAGGUUACAUCAAAAGAUGAGAAUCAAUUCGUUGAAGAAGACGAUGAAGCUAUGGAAACAAUACACUUUGGUGAAGUUCAAGAUACCUUAAAGCAGAAUGGAGUGAUUUACCAUUGUGGAGGCCCAAACAAGUAUUUAGUAUAUCAGGAGGAUACAAUGAAUUCUGAUCAUACUAUUACUGAUUGGAUGAAUAAUUUUGAUAUAAAUCAUGUUAGUGUAAUAGAAACGGAGUUGUAUAGUUCCAAGUUGUUAGAUUGUAUGAAAGAUUAUGAGUCAAUGAAAAAAAUCAAACAGAAGGUUAUUGAAGAACAUUUGUGCCAGUCCAUUAAGUUAGGUACCAUUGAAAUACCAUAGGUAUUAGGAACAUAGUCUUUAGAACCUUCUAUAGACAAGUUUCUAAAACCUUCUAGAAGCAAGUCUCUGAAACCUUCUAGAAGCUUCUUAGUGGUAGAAGAUGUUAGGGACAUAGUCUUUAGAACCUUCUAGAGAUAAGUUUCUAGAACCUUCUAGAAGCAAGUCUUUGGAACCUUCUAGAAGCUUCCUAGUUGAUAGAAGUUGCUUGAGAAGCUUCCUAAAUAGGAGUAUAUAUUGGAAUCGAGGCUGAAGAGUUCUUCAGUCUCGACAACACAUCUCUUGGAGCUUUAACUCACCUCUCUAGUGUUAUUCUUGUAUUCAUCUGAUUAAUCUAGUUCUUAUCAGUUCUUCUUGAAUUUCUUGUUAGAUCUCGAGCCUGUAUUUCUAUGUCCGUAAUAGUUUGUCGAGACUUCUCUCACCUCAGAUAUGAGAGCUAGUUUCUUCUUUGUUAGAGUGUGGAUUACCCCUCUGCUUGGAAGAGUACUAGCAUUUUUGAGGUUGUGGAUUACCUUCUUCUAAAUUGAUACUUCUUUUGUUAUAAUAUUGGAGUCUUAUUCUUCUUGGAGAGAGUGGAUUACCCCUUUUCUUGAAGCUCUUAAGGCAAUUUAGAGGUUGCGGAGUACCCUCCUCUAAACCAAUAUUGUCUUCUUGUAGAGUCAUUUUUGUCCUUCUCUUAGAAUCGCCGGAGACCAAGACAUUAGUAUGACAGAAAGUUCAGAGUCCAAGUUGGAUGCUAUCAUGAAUGCCCUCGCUACGUUAUCGCAAAGAACUGCAGAGAUUGAAGGAGUCGUGGCAAGGCUUCAUAAUGAUGGAGCAUCUGGGAUGGCACAAUCUAAGUUGCACCAGCCUCAAACUUCUACACUUAGAGAAGCAACUUUGCCUUAGGUUCGACAAGCACCGCUGGUUCUAUAAUAUAAGGAGCCCCGAGUUAGCCUUCUGGAUAAGUUCGAUGGUACGCGUUCCAAGUUUUGAGGAUUCAUCAAUCAUAUCAGGGUGAUAACAGUUUUACAGUCCAAACGCUAUCCAACGGAGUAGUCACGUGUUGAGCUUGUUGGAACCUUACUUACAGGGCAAGCUGUAUCAUGGUUUGCUCCUUUGUUUGAGAAACGAUCGUCCAUACUAAACAACUUUGAAACCUUUUUAGAGGCAUUUGCGCAAGCAUUUAGUGAAUAUGAUAAGGUUCGAUGAGCUACAAGAAAGAUCCAGUCACUACGACAAGGGAUGCGCUCUACAUCAGUCUAUGCAUCGGACUUCAGGUAAUUAGCAUGCGACAUCAAUUGAGAUGAAGAAGCAUUCAUGAGUCAAUUCUAUUGGGGUUUAAGGGAUGAUAUGAAGGAUUUGCUGUUAACUCUUCUUGAUCCGUAAACGCUCAACGAAGCUAUUAGCCAAACUAUGAAGUGUGAUAAUCGCCUAUUCCAAUGCCACCAAGACCAACGUUCAAGACAACAUAUGGUUCGCCAUGCCUCAACUAUGUCGACAAGCAGCGUGAAUUCACAUUCAGAGGUAGAAGACAUGCAAAUGAUGCGGUACGUGUCAAAUCUCUUACUUUAGAAGAAAAAAAGCGGCGCAGGGAGGAAGGUCUAUGCUUGUAUUAUGGUGAAGAAGGCCACAAAGUUGGAAACUACCCCAAUAUUAAAUCUUUAUUCAUUAGAGCAAGAGUGUUUAUAAGAUCAUCUAAGAAAGGCACACCGUUUGUCAUUUAUGCGGCUCCAACUACCGGGGAGAAGAUCUUGAUAUCAAGUGUACCUAAGCAAUAUAAGGAUUUUAAAGAUGUGUUUCAAAAGAAGAAUGCCGACAUGCUACCGAAACACCGACCAUAUGAUUGUGCCAUAGACUUGCAGGAAAGAGCACAACUGCGUUUUGGCCCAAUCUACAAUCUAUCGCAGACGGAGUUGGCGGACUUAUAGAAGUACAUCGACGAGAAUCUAGCCAAGAACUUCAUCCGUCAUUCAAAAUCAUCAGUUGGAGCAUUCAUCUUAUUUAUGAAGAAGAAAGAUGACUCGUUGCAGAUGUGCGUGGACUAUCGAGGCCUCAACAAGGUAACAAAGAAGAAUCGUUAUCUAUUAUCCUUGAUUUUUGGUCUCUUAGAACAACUUAGAUGUGCAAGGAUCUUUACAAAAAUUGAUCUAAGGGGAGCCUAUAACCUCGUACAAAUGAAGGAAGGAGAUGAGUGGAAGAUAGCGUUCCAUACAAGGUAUGGCCAUUUUGAGUAUAAUAUCAUGUCCUUUGGUCUUACCAAUGCUCCAGCGGUCUUUCAACAUAUGAUGAAUGACAUUUUCCGAGAGCACCUUGACGAUUUUUUUGUCAUCUAUUUAGAUGAUAUUUUGAUAUUCUCCAAAAACAAGGAAGAGCAUGAAAAGCACGUUCAUUUGGUCUUGGAGAAACUACACAAGCGAGGACUAUAUGCCAAGUUGGAGAAAUGUUUAUUUUACCAAAUAGAGAUGGAGUUUUUGCGGUUCGUUGUGACUAUGGAAGGCUUGAAGAUGGACCCCAAGAAGGUGGAAGCAAUCGUGUUCUGGGAGGUUCCGAAGACGGUUAGAGACGUACAAUGCUUUCUUGGUUUUGCCAACUUCUAUCGGAUCUUCAUUAAGAAUUACUCUCAAGUUGCUACUCCUCUCACUCGAUUGACAUGCAAGGAUAAGUUGGAAUAGGGACCUCUAGCGGAGAAGGCAUUUCAAGACCUAAAAAUCACAUUUAUUAUGACUCCAAUCUUGGUACAUACAGACUUUACAAAGGCCUUUUAUUUAGAAACUGAUGCUUCGGAUUUUGCUUUGGGAGCUGUACUUUUAUAAAUAGGAGAAGAUAAGAAGCUCCAUCCGGUUGCAUUCAAUUCUCAAAAGUUCUCUGUUACUGAAAUCAAUUAUGAGAUCCAUGAUAAGGAACUUCUUGCUAUAGUGGAUUCUUUUCAAAAAUGGCAUCAUUUUCUUGAAAGAACUGCACACCCAGUGACUGUAUAUACAGAUCACAAGAAUUUGGAAUAUUUCAUGUCGGCUCGAGUUCAUAAUUGACGUCAAGCUCGGUAGAGUAUGUUGCUAUCUAGGUUCGAUUUUGUUAUCACUUAUUGAUAUGGAAAGCAGCAAGGACUAUCUGAUGUCUUAUCGAGAAAAUCGUAUCUUGUACCAAAGGCUGGAGAAGCAGCGUUUGAUCAACAAUAUACGACAUUGUUGAAGCUAGAGCAAUUUCAGCUUUGUGCUACUAUUGUACCAAUUGAUGUUGACUUCAUGAACCGAGGUACGUGCCGUGACCAUUGAAGAUUCAAUAGCCAUUGAUAUUAAGCAGCGUGCCAAUGACGACAAGUUCAAGGUAGAGGAAGAUCUUUUAUACUUUGAGGAGCGGCUGUAUAUCCCAAAAGGACCAGCACGACUCUGAGUUCUUCAAUCUCGCCAUGAUUUUCCAACUACGAGACAUUUUGGAUUCAACAAGACCUUGGAGCUUAUUUCUCGAGAUUUUUGGUGGCCCCAAAUGUGGAAGGAUGUGAAAGAUUUUGUCCUCUCCUGCGACAUCUGUUCAAGAUCCAAGAAUCCUCGGCAUUGCCCUUAUAGACUCCUACAGCCAUUGCCGAUUCCAUGUCGACCAUGGUCUUCAGUUUCCAUGGACUUCAUCACAGACCUUCCAUCAUCGAACUCAUUUGACAACAUCUUUGUCGUAGUAGAUCGGCUUACAAAGAUGGCGCACUUUGUCCCUUGCAAGAAGACAUCGUCCAGUGAAGUCAUAGCAAGACUCUUUCUCGAUAAUGUGUAUCGAUAUCAUGGACUACGACAUGAUAUCGUAUCAGAUCAAGGAACCCAGUUCGUAUCAAAGUUUUGGAGAUCUCUCUUUGAGAUACUAAAGGUGGUUAUCAAGUUUUCUUUGGCUUUUCAUCCUCAAACUGAUAGCCAAAUGGAAUAGGUGAACCAAGUCUUGGAACAAUACUUACGAUGUAGCAUCAAUUAUCAGCAAGAUGAUUGAAUCACAUAUUUGCUGCUAGCCGAGUUUGCUUAUAACAACACCCUCCAUGCGUUGACUCAAUACACACCAUUCUUUUCCAACUAUGGAUAUCAUCUAAAGCUUGAUUUAUUGAGUCCGUCAACAAAUAACAAUCCAACAGUUGAAGGAUUUGCGAAACAACUAUCAGAGCUUCAAAAUAUGUUGAAGCUUCAAUUACAAUCUGCUCAAGAAUCCUACAAGGCGUCUGCAAAUAGAUUUCAGAAUUAAGUACCUACUUUCAAAAUUGGAGAUAAAGCAUGGCUUCUUCAACGGAAUAUCAAGACCAAGCAACCAUGUGAUAAGUUGGACUAUCGAAGAUUGGGACCAUUUAUCAUCUACAAGCAAAUCAAUCUAGUGGCAUACCGUCUGGAAUUACCGGCUUCUAUGAAGGUACAUCCAGUCUUUCAUGUUUCUCUGUUGGAGCCUUAUUGAGAGUCGUCUUUUCUUGGAAGAGUACAAUGUCCACCACCUAGUAUUGAGAUCGAGAACCACGAGGAAUACGAGGUUGAAAAGGUGUUGGAUUCACGACUAAGGUGGGGCAAGUUGGAGUAUCUUGUUCAUUGGUGCAGCUACGAUAUUAAUGAGCGAACAUGGGAGCUAGCUGAAAAUCUUGCCAAUGCGCCAUAAAAAGUACAGGAGUUUCAUCAACAACAUCCUCAUAAACCUAAGCCGGUUCGACGAUAGCUUUCUUCUAAAGCUUGCUCAUCCAAGAAUAUAAGAAAGGAGAAGAACCCCACCAAAAUUCGUAGUUGAUGUAGUUAUUUUCUCCAAGAUAAAAUAGAAUUUUUUCAGUAGCCAUAGUUUGGUUUUCUGAUAUGGAUAGCCAAGAGAUAGAUACUAUGCCAGUCAGAUUAUCUCAACCGACUAGCUCACAAAGGCGACCCCAAGAUGAAGAACCGCCUACACCACGACCACGACGGAGGAUACCGAGUAACCGAUCACUGGUGAUUGUAUUUGAGUUCGAGUUUGCUUACGAUGGUUAGCUAGAAGGCGUAUUUGCAGGACAAUUUUACAAUGAGGACAUGGAAUUUCAUGCUUGGUCAGAAGUUGAAAGAGUAGACCACUACCAUUGGCUUCAAGGGCCAAUGAACCACUUGCCUCAUGAACAACAAUUGGAGUUCAUAGCAGGUGUUAUGCGACAAAUCUUCAUUUUCUUACGUUGAUACUGAUUAACAAUAACAUUGCUUCUCAAAAACCUCGAAGAUAAAAGAGGGGGUGAUGUUAGGGACAUAGUCUUUAGAACCUUCUAGAGACCAGUUUCUAGAACCUUCUAGAAGCAAGUCUCUGGAACCUUCUAGAAGAUUUUAGUGAUAGGAGAUGUUAGGGACAUAGUCCUUAGAACCUUCUAGAGAUAAGUUUCUAGAACCUUCUAGAAGUAAGUCUCUGGAACCUUCUAGAAGCUUCCUAGUUAGUAGAAGUUGCUUGAGAAGCUUCCUAAAUAGGAAUAUAUAUUGGAAUCGAGGCUGAAGAGUUCUUCAGUCUUAACAACACAUCUCUUGGAGCUCUAGUUCACCUCUCUAGUAUUGUUCUUGUAUUCAUCUGAUUAAUCUAGUUCUUGCCAGUUCUUCUUGAACUUCUUGUUAGAUCUCGAGCCUAUAUUUUUGUGUCCAUGACAAUAGGUUAUUAAGGUAUACACCAGUAGUAUGGAUAUCAAGCUAAAAAAUUAAAAAGAAUUCUUGCUUAGUCAUAAAUCUACUUUUUCUUGGUUGUAUACAAAUUUAAAAGGUAUUCCUAUCGAGGUUUGUAAGCAUUAGAUUACUUUGGAAGAGGAUUCUAUACUGGUUUAUCAAAGACAACACCAUCUUAAUGUAAAAUAUUUCCUUAUGGUAAAAGAAGAAUUAAACAAACUUUUAAAUAUGGAUUUUAUUUAUCAAGUCCCAUAUAGUGAAUGAAUUUCACCAAUUGUGAUGGUGCCAAAGAAGAAUGGAAAAAUCAGAAUUUGUCAAGAUUUUCAUAAAUUGAAUAAAGCUAUCAAGAAGGAUUAGUUUCUUUUAUCUUUUACAAAUAGUAUCCUAGGUGUAGUAGCAAGAUAUGAAUGUUAUUUUUUCUUGGAUGGAUUUUUGAAUUAUAAUUAAGUUAAAAUUAUAAAAGAAGAUUACUUAAAGAUUACUUUUACUAUAGAUUUGGGCACAUUUGCUUAUAAAGUGAUGCCAUUUGGAUUAUGCAAUGUCUAUGCCACAUUCCAAAUAGUGAUGAUGCAAGUAUUUUAGGAUUAUUUAUGAUUAUUGAUGGACAUAUUUUUAGAUAUUUUUUAUACAUUUAAUAAAAAAAUCAAAUAUUUGGUUUGUGUUAGUAAGUAUUUGGAUCACUUUGGUCAUUAUUGGAUCUCUUAGUAUUCAAAGAAAUGCCAAUUUGGAGUACUAUCUAGUAAGUUAUUGGGACACAUUGUCUCACUAGUUGAUAUUACUACUAACUUGGAUAAAGUUACUAAUAUAUUGGCUUUACCAAAACUAGAGACAGUGUCGGGUGUCUGUGGUUUUGUUAGCCAUGUAAGUUAUUAUCGAUGAUUUAUUCAUUGAUUUAUAAUUAUAUGUGAGUCUUUAACUAAUCUCUUAAAGAAACCAUUAUCAGAUGGAUCUAGUCCAAUUUGGACUGAAGACUGUAUAAUUGUGUUUGAAGAAUUGAAACAAAAAUUGGUAUCUGUACUAGUACUGGUUGCACCUUGUCCGACAAAAUUAUUUCAUGUUUAUGUUGAUGCAUCUAAUGAUACUAUUGGAUUGGUAUUGAGUGAAAAAUAUGAGAAUGAUUUUGAUCAUCCAAUAUAUUUUGCUAGUCAUAAAUUGAUUGUAGUCGAACAAAAUCACACUAUUAUAGAACAAGAAGCCUUGGGCAUGAUCUAUUUUAUCCAUAAAAUUUGGCAUUAUUAGCAUGGUUAUCCAUUUGUGUUUCAUGUUGAUCAUGAUGCUCUAAAGUAUAUAGUUAAUAAACUUCAAUUGAGUGGAUGUAUUCCUCGAUGGAUGUUACUACUUUAAGAAUUUAAUUUUACUAUUAAUGUUUGACUAAGCAAGAAACAUGCCAAUGCGGAUCACUUAUCUCGAUUGUCUAAUAUAUUAAAAAAUGAACCUAUCCAUGAUGCACUUCUUGACGCACAGUUGUUUGGCAUCAAUAUGAUUAUAGCCAAAUAUAAUAAAUUGAUUCAGUAUCUAACAUUUCAAACAUUUUCAACUCCAUAUAGUGAGAAAUUAAAGAAACGCUUGAUUUUAAAAAGUAUGCAGUAUACAAUGAUUGGUGAUGCCUUGUAUAAGUAAGGAUAGGAUGGAAUUUUAUGCUGAUGUAUCUUUCAAAGUGAAUUAUGUACCAUAUUAGAAAGAUGCCAUUUGGAUAGUUGUGGAGGGUAUUUUUUUAGUGAUAGUUCUACUCAUAAAGCUGUAAUAGCUCGAUAUUAGUGGCCAACCAUGUUUUUGGAUGCACACCAAUAUGUCCAAUGUUGUGAUCUUUGUCAAUAAAUUGAUCGACCUACGAAAACUUUUGCCAUGUCGUCGGUACCGAUUUUGGUAUAAGUACUAUUUAAAAAAUGGAGGAUUGAUUUUAUAGGACCAAUCGCAUUAGCCUCCCAAAAUAGACAGAAAAGAUAUAUUUUGAUAGUAAUCGAAUAGGUCAUCAAAUAGGCUGAGACUAUGGCAACAAAAACUAAUAAUACGAAUGUAGUAGCCAUAUUUUUAUAUGAAAAUAUUAUCACCUAUUUUGGAUGUCUUAAAGAAUUGAUUAGCAAUCAAAGAAUCUAUUUUAUUAAUUCUACAAUUACAACCUUGACAAAUAAAUAUGAGAUCAAAUAUCAAAAAAUAACUCCAUAUCACCCUCAGGCCAAUGGAUAGAUUGAAAAGACCAAUGGUACUGUAUGUAAAAUUUUAACUAAGAUAGUGUCUGGUACAUGAACAGAUUCGAAUAUUAAAUUGUUUGCAGCAUUGUAGGCAUAUUAUAUUGCAUAUAGAAAGACUACUAAUUCUAUACCAUUCUAAUUAGUAUACAAGUAAGAAAUAAUCUUACCAAUUGAAUUGGAAGUAUACAGUUUGAGAACUGCAUUAGAUGAAUGACUUGGUGACAAGAAAUCCCUCUAAGAUCGAUUAGCAGAAUUGAAAAAAUUAAAUGAAAUUAGGGCUAUGACUCUAUUGACUAUGGAAACUAUACAGCAUCGAUGUAAGAGUUAUUAUGAUAGUAAAUUAUGUCUCAAGUCGUUUCUAUCUAAUAAUCUAGUACUUCUUUAUGAUAGCAGAUUUAAUAAUUUUCUAGAGAAAUUUUAAGUCCAUUGGUAUAGAUCGUAUCAUGUAGUGGAAGGCUUUUCUAAUAGGUUCAUUCAAUUGGAAGAUUUUAUGGAUAUCCAAUUUAUCACACGUAUCAAUAGAAACAAAUUACAACUUUUUUAUACAUAAAUCCCAGACGGGUUUUAAAAAUUUGAAAGAGAAAGGCUUAUUUGUUAAUGAUAGAUUAUCUAUAACUAUAGAUGUAUGUUGAAGUAGAGAUGGCUAAUGAUUUGUUUUAGAUACUAAUAUCGACUAGUGAAAAAAUCAAAAGUAAGAUUAUGAUCAACAAAAUUAAGGAUUUUUUAUCCAUACUUGAGUAAAGGUUAGGAGCAGGGCACUCAAUGGUAGUUGUUUUCAGCAUUUCUUAUAUUGUUAUUUGGAGUAUAUCAACUUAGAAAGUAGGAUUUACUUCAAUAAGUAAGAAUGUAGUAUUAGUGCAAGCAAGGAGUGAAAAGCCAAUAUUAUACAAUGUCGAUGAAAAGAAUGAAGCAAGCUAUAAAGAAAGAGGAAGGAUGCCAAAAUAUAAGAGCUAAGAGCAAUUUAGAGUUGCCAUCUUUAGUGGUUCUCACUAACAUAGAAUAAAUGAAGUUGGAAUUCUGAUGGAGCGCAAAAAGGCAAAGAGGUUUUAAAAAUGUGCAUUUAUAUGUGUUUUUGCGAGGGUCUAAUAACUUGCUACUAAUUGAUGUAGAAUUGUUGGAAGAGUAUAUAUUCAAUUAUGACCUGGAAGAUGAUUCGAGUAUAGUAAAGAGGAGAAUUAUUGGGAUUGAUGAAACUACCUUGCAAAAGGUACUGCAUCUCUUAAUUGGUGAGCUUGUAGUGGGUGCUGAAGUGUCCAGCAAUUUCAGACCAGUAUCAUAUUGUAAUUACUUAUAGUAUGUAAAAAUUACUUAGAAUAUAUAAUAUAUUCAUAAGUCUUGGUGUAUGUUAGAAUGAUUAAUAGAUCAAUUUAAAGAGAGUGGAUUUAAGACACUUGAUUUUGAAUUUUAUCUUUCUAAUUAUAACAUUUCAAAAAAAUUAUAGAACCGAAAUGUUUAGUAUGAAGCCUUGAGAGGAGAUUAGAGCCUAAAGAAGAAAUUCUUAACUAGUAGGAGGCUUAUUAGAAGGGAUGAAAGCAAGGCAUGAUUGAAUGAAGGCAAGGAAUGGGGAACAUCAUUCCUAUUGGUCGAAGGCCAUGCUCUAUGAGCUUUAAGGAGGCUACUUGAGGCCUUAUUAGGGAUUAGGGUUUUUUUUUCAAAGUCAUUUGAGCUUUGGAGGCUAAGAUCAGCAAGUUCAGGGUUUUGGAUAUAAUUUGGAUGAAGAGUUUGUAUGAUUUUGAGUUUUUGUGAAGGAGAUAGGUGUUCAAAGUUAAGGUAUCAAAUUUUUACCUACUAUCACUCUUUGAAGCAUAACAUAUGCAUACACAGAGAGAUGAAAGAUCGACAAUUGGAAUUGUAGAAAAAACUUUCUUGGCUAAACUUUACAUGUACUAUUUGAUGAAUUCUAAGUCUAGAUAAAGGAGUUAUAGGGCAUUGAAGUCAGCACAUGUAAUUCAAAGGCAAUAAGUGAAUCAUUUUGUUGAUAAUAAUGGUUGGAGCCAUAUCUUGACUUUCUGAACGAAUUUUUGGUUCAAAAUUUUUGUAAGUAUAAGUUAUUAGGUUAAAAAGCUAUAGAUUAAAGUUUUAUAGUAUUUAAAUACUUAUUUUGUGAGAUAUGAAGAUAAUAGCAUGCAUGUGUAUGUAAGCUAGGAUUUAAAGCUAUUGUUAGGAUUUUGGUAAUAUCUUAAGAUCCGUAAAAAAUUUGUAAUUAAAUUUUUUUUUUUGUAGUUUUUGAAAGUAUAUUAAUACUUCAUAUAAAAUUUUAGAUUUUUUGGAUGAUUCAAUCGUGACAUAUAAGCUAUUGAAGUUCAAGAAACAUUUUUCAUAAGAAUAUAUAAGGUUUUAAGAUACUUUAUCAUAUAUUUGGAUAUUUUUUUGGUACUUGGGCUUAUGUACUGAUAUAAUUGCCCUAAAAAAAAAAAAUUAUAUAUAUAAACUUGGUACUUUUAUAUCUUAGACUUGAUUGAGCAUUUAAUGAUAGCGAGAAGCUCAAUGCUUUCUUGAGACAAACUCUCUCUACUCCGAUAUAUUAGCGCUUCCACUGAGAGAGCCUUAAGGUACUAAUUAUCUCAAAAAAUUAAGAUGGGAGAUCAAAAUCCUCAAUUUGUAUUACCAAGUGGGAUGGAUGCUAUUGAUUUAUUUAAGGCAUUUUCUCAAUUUAGGAAAGAAAGGUAACAGGUGCAUGGACAGGAAAAGAGCACUACUAAAGCCUUAUAAGUAGUAGUGGACAAAGUUGGGAGGUUUGAUGGGAGGAAUAUUUUUAAGUUCUUAAGGAUUUACAUAUGUGAAAUGGAAGUGCAUCUAGUUCUAGAAAUGAAGAUGAUUACUACCUUUGAUUUGGCAAUGAUACUAGAAAUUAGGAAAAGAGUGCAAGAGUUGCAUGUAAAGGCUAUAUCAUGGAAGAAAUUUAAAGAUCUCUUGAAAGAUGAAUUUUUUGAGGAAGAUUCAGAAAGAAUGACUAAGGUGAAUUUUUUGGAAUGGAUUGAGUAAAGGCUAGAAAAUCAAAUGACUCCAAAUAAAUUAAUCAAGAAAUUUGAAACUAAAUUUGGCUAAUUACUAUGACAAGAGAGACAGCUCUUGGAAACAAGAAAAAGUAGAUUAUUCUUACAAGUAGCUGAUGAAUACUUGGAGGACAAGUUGCUCUUUUAUCUAGCAGAUAAGAUACAUGAGAGUGGUUUUAUAAAUAAUUGAAAGCUAAUAAAAGAGACAAUAGGAAUUUUAGUUAAACAACAAAAGAUUAAGACUCGUGAUUUAAUAUCAAGGUUAGAAUCAGUGCCUACAUCUCAAAAUCAAGUACCACCUUAAAAGGUGAUUAAGACUAUUAAGGAUGGUACUCUUGAAGAAUUAAUCAAGGGCAUACAGGAUUUGAAGGUGGAAAUGACUGAAUUGAAGAAAUCCUAGAUAGCAAACUUAUUAAAGAUAAUUGAAGGCUCAAAGGGAUUUGUAGAAAGAUACAUGUGGUAUGAUAAUUCAAAUCAUAAGCAUGGUGAGUGUGACAACUAUAAGGCUGCAAUCAAGGAUGGUAUUGUAUAUUUGAAAGAAGACAGGAUAAGACUUACAGGGUCAGAUGAGCCUUUAAAGACUAAUUUUAGAAAAGGUGGCAUAAAAAAAUUGGUAGAGGAGCAAAUAUCAAAGAAUAAUGCCAUACAAGGAGAAGGAGCUUAGUUAUAUUCUAUUACAGUUGAAUAAAAAGUAUUUAAGGCUUAUUCCUUACCAACUAUAGAAGUUAUCAUCAAGGAAGUUGAAGCUAUCAAGAAAAUGAUUGGAUGGAAUGAUGGAGUUGAUGCUAUUAGUAUUAAAGCAUAUUUAUGUAGGAAUAAACAUGAUGAUGAUCUGUAUGAUGUCAUGGUUGAUGAAAAAAGAGGUAGAGCUAUUGAUAAAGAGGAUGUUGUUGAACUUAGAAGCAAAAAGAGAUCUCUAAGAAAUAAAGAAGCUUAUGAAAAGUAAAAACUAGAGAAGGUGCCUUUUUUUAGUCAUCUUGGAGAUAUACCAUUAUCAAAAGAGUGAAGAAAAAAGAACAAAGAGAAGGAGAAGAAUGACACUUGGAAAUCCAAAGUUGAAGCUAUUAUAGUAAGAGCAUUGGAUACUCAUACAAUUAAAAAAAGAAAAGAAGAAGAAGAAAUUAGCCAAGUAUUUACUCUCAUAUGUGAUUCUAUGAUUAAUGAUGGUCAUAAAGAAGAACAAAAAAUUGAUUCUAAUGAGAUUGAAGAAGAAGAAGUUGAAGAAAUAGAAGAGUUUUUGAAUGAAGAAAUGAAUGAUGAAGUUUUGCAAAUAUUUGCAAGAAUAAAUAUGAGUAAUAAGGAGGUUGUUAUGGAUACAACAUGUAUCCAAAAUCAAGGUGAAUUUGAAUAUGGAGAAGCGCAAGGUUUAACAAAAGAAGCCCAAACCAUCCAAAUUCAAGAAUACCUAGUUGAAAAAAUAACAAAUAAAAAGAUGGUUCAUAAGGAUAUAAAGGAACUUAUUUAUGUUGAUAACUACAACUUUGAGUGUGAUAAAGAAGAGAAGGUGGAUUAUUAUCAUUUAUUUUAGACAAAGAUGAAGCUUGGAGAGCUUGAAGUUAUGAAUUUAGCUUUUAUUGUUUAUGUCUCUGAGAAAAAAAUCAUAUCUAUGAGACUUUUUGAUAGGAAAAAAUGAUAUAUUGAUAUCAACCAAAAAUAGAUAUUAAAAGUUUCAAAUAAUAUGAAAGAUAUGUGAAUAGAGGUUUUUAAUGGUACUUUAGACCACUAAUAUAAUACAUAGAAGAAAUGUUUUUAAAGAUGGUUUGAGCCAUAUCUUGAAUUUUUGGACGAAUUUUUGGUUCAAAUUUCUAUAAGUGUAAGUUAUUGAGUUAAGAAGCUAUAGAUCAAAGUUACAUAGUAUUUGAAUAUUUAUUUUGUGAGAUAUGAAGAAAAUAGCACGUAGGUAUAUGUAAGCUAGGAUUUAAAGCUAUUAUUAGGAUUUUAAUGAUAUCUCAAGAUUCAUAAUGAAUUUAUAAUUGAAUUUUUUAGUAAUAGUUUUUGAAAGUAUAUCAGUACUUCGUGCAAAAUUUUAGAUUGUUUGGAUAGUCCAAUCGUGAGAUAUAAGCUGUGGAAGUUCAACAAACAUUUUUCAUAAAAAUAUAUAAGGUUUUACGAUACUUUAUCAUACAUUUGUUUUUUUUUUUUUUUUUUUUUUUUUUUUGUACUUGGGAAGCUAUUUCAAAGGUGGAAUAUUGUCAUUUGAGAGGAAUCAAAAUUAGCAAAUGGUAGAGAUACUUAUACUAGAGCUUAUGGAAUAGAUGCAUUUCAUUCACAAGUGUUUAGGCUUGAAUUGACACAUCACGUACAUGUCCAAAUGAUUACUAUUUGCUACAAUAGGAAUGCUUGAAGGAAUGAUAUUUAAUUGGGUAGCCUUUGUAGCAACUAGAAUCCAUGCGAAACUGGAAGCCAUGCAAAAGACAAAAAAAUUUACAUCAUUGCUUUACUCCAAUUAUGUACAUUCUAUAAUUGUAUAUACGUUAAGUCAAACACUGCUAGCAAAGAAGAAAAAUAUAUCCUCUCUAGUGUCUAAAGAAGGUGUUUAGAGUUUAAUGGCACUGAUAGCUAGUCUAGGGGUCUUGGUGCAUGAAAUUGGGUAGUCAAAUAAUUCAAUGGAGCAGGAGGCUAUACCAAUAUUUAUACCAAGGUGAGUUCUAAUUAGUUCAACAAUCAAGGUGGCAGCUGAAGUUUCAGUUUUAAUGGACAUAAACUAGUUAGCAUUACUAGAGGAUAGAAAUAAAUCUUAAAGAGGUUUUAUUGGCUCAAAUUUUUCAAUUGCAGUUAACAAUGAGUAAAUUAGAUGGAGAAGAAAAUUUAACACAACAAUUGGAAGCAAGGAGAAAAGAAUUAUUGAAGCAAAGCCAUAGAAUGACAAAACAAGAUUGCUUGAUUAAAGAAAAUGUAGAAUUCAAGUUCUUAUUGGAGCAUAAAUUUGAAAAGAAACAAAAAGCUUAGGAAAGAAAAAAAAAUAAAAAUAAAAAUAAAAAUACAUUGAGCGUAUUAUGGAAGGCUAAAGGUAAGAUCUAUUUCAGAUUUGCAGUAUAUCAAUUUUGAAAUAGGAGAAGACAAAGUAUUAGUUGGAAAUAGAAUAAGAAAAGAUAGCAUUACUAGAACAAGAAAAGUGAAAAUUAGAUAACCAACAAAGAAUUGAAAUAGAAGAGUUAAGGAUAGAAAUUAGAACUCUGAAAGAAUUAGUAAAAAAAUUAGAAGAUGAUUUAGCCAAUAUUGGCCAAUUACAGAUAUCUAUCUUGCCAGUUUCAAUAAUUAGUGAAUUAGAGGAAAAGAUGAGGUAAUAGUAGUAGCAAUUGGAAGCAAAUUAUGUUAGGAUUUUGUAAUUAGAAGCUGAAGUUUGUGAAUUGGAAGUGUACAAUGAAGAUUUAUUAGUCCAAUUGAGAAAAGAUCUAAUAGAAGUAUCAGAGGAGGAGAAAGACUUAUCAUUAGAACUGGAAUCUGUGGAACCAUCUACGGACAAUGUUGAGAUUGAUUAAUCCAGUAAGCCUAGAUAGUAGUUUGCGAGGACAUUACAAAGUUAGGAGUGAGACUAUAGAGAAUGGAUAGGAUUUUUUGUUUUGUAAUACAUAGUAUGUAGGAUUAAGAGAAGCUAGUAAAAUGAUGAAUAGAUAGUUUAGAAGGCAAGAUGGAUGAUUUAGUCAGAAAAAGUAAUUAUCAUCAUAUUAUAUAGUGGUUGGCAUUUCAAAGUAAGCAUAAGUAGGUUGAGGAAGAAGUAAGAGGGGCCAAACUAUGAUAGUUAUGAGUCGAGAUAAGCUUGGUGCUAUCUCUUUGUUCCUUUGUAGUUGAAGAGUAAUGGAUUAUUUUUGAAUAAUGUAAAGUAAAAUUUUAGAAUAAAAAAGAGAUUUAAUAUUAUAAAUGAAGUAAGAAAUUUAUUGUGGAUGAAUACAGUGGACAAUUGUAAUUAAAAAAUUGAAAGUAUUAGUGAAGAAUGGUUAUGAAUGGGAGAAUUAUAAUACUAAGGUUUGAGAAGGAGUCAUUAGAGUUUGAAUUUGUGUGAAGAAGUGUAGGAAGAAUGACAGUUAAAUGUGGAGGAUUCCAAUGAUUGGAUUAUGGAGUGAUUAUAUAUUAUCUCUUAAGAUAGUAUAUUAUUACAUAUUAUUGUCAUAAAUUAGGAAAAAUGAAGAAAUAGUGAAUGUGAAGAUAGAAUUAUCGAUUGUAAUAUUUGAUAGAAUGCAAAAGACAAUGUAGCAUUCUUGGAUGUUUUUAGUUGAUCAGAAGACAAUUAAUUGUGUAACCCUAAUAUGUAAACGCAUGCAGAUAGUCUUUCCUUAUAUUCAAAUUCUCUUAUAUAGGUUUAUUCUGAUUAGAUUAGUCUGGAGUAAUUAAAAUAAAAAUUAUACAAAUUCUAAUCAAAUCCUAAUCAAAUCCUAACCAAAUCCUAGUCAAAUCUUAAAUAAAUCCUAACCAAAACCUAAUCAAAUCCUAACCAAAUCCUAAUCAACUCUAAAUAAACUUUAAUCAAAUCCUAACAAAUUCUAACCAAAUCCUAAUCAAACCUUAAACAAAUCUUAAUAAAAUCCUAAUAAAAUCCUAAUCAAAUUUUAAUCAAACCUUAAUCAAAUCCUAAUCAAAUCCUAACCAAAUUCUAGUCAAAUCUUAAAUAAAUCCUAACUAAAACCUAAUCAAAUCCUAAUCAAACUCAAUUCACCUCUAAAUAAAUCCUAGUCAAAUUCUAAAAAAUUCUAAUUAAAUAUUAAACAAAACUUAAUCAAAUUCUAAUCAAAUCCUAAUCAAAUUUUAGUCAAAUCCUAAUCAAAUCCUUAUCAAAUCCUAAUCAAAUCUUAACCAAAUCCUAAUCAAAUUUUAAAUAAAAUCUAAUCAAAUCCUAACCAAAUUUUAACCAAAUU